GAAAAGCUUAAGUGGUAUUUAAUGGAUAACUUAUUACAAAGAAGGAAUUCUCUAGACUUACUUUACCUUUAAUUCACAUUGUUUGGAUGGAGCACUUUUUCACACGAUAAAGCACUAUGUGUACAGAUAGAAAGAGGUGAUUCGUGUGGCCAGAGAGCAAAUCAAAGUCACUUUACUGCAAACAGGAGAGGGCUCCAGUGUUAUUGUACAUUCAAGAGAGCUCAGAAAUGCUGAACUACACCAUUAUCAUCACAUUCCAUGGAAACCACCCCUGGUCACCAAGGACCUGGAUGGAGCCACACAGAUAUCAGCAAUGUCACUGUUGUCUUCAUUUCAUCACAGUUGAAAUGUAUGGGCCAAAACUGGAAUCACAAUCUCAUUGACUGAGGUAGAUGUUGCCCAUGACGACAGUGAUGGGGUCCCAAGGGAAGAAGCAAUGUUCCUAGACAUGCUGGAGAACUGUUUCCUUACAAGAGUGGGACUAUGGCUGCCACACUGCCUGCUAAAGAGCCAUGCACAGCGUGGAGCAGAUUCACGGGAUAUUUGGCACCCUCAGAGUAAAAACACAGCACUUUUACCAUCUUUAAUUGGAGGUAAGCUAUACUUUGUAGAAGCAUGUAUUGUACAAAGAAUGGGGAAUACCACGAGUACCAGUAAUACCUUGCAUAACAGUAAGAAGUUAAAAGGGAACUUGUUUUUAAGGGCUCCCAUAGUAAUAGGCUCUGCAUCACAUGAGCAAUCCCCUCAACCAUCUGAAAAUAAACCGCGUUUAAUUGACUGGAUAAGCAGAUCACAUACGUUAAAGCUAGGAAUGCCCCUUCAACUGUAACUUUGAACUGUAGCUUGCACACCCUUUGGCAAUCCAUUUACACAGAAAUGUGUACAUCCCUUGGCUAUAACAGUAAUUUGGGCUGCAACAGUAACAUGUACACCCUUUGGCAAAGCUCUUGCAUGGAGGAGGAGAAAAUUUUUUUGAAAAGUGGAGCAUUUCCCAGUCAAACCCUGGCUGUACAACACACUCACUUUACUAUUGCGAGAGUAUUUUUGAAAACAUCUUUGAUCCCACUACAGUGAAAAAGUACUUUGCACUAUGCACACCAUCAGCAAAGAAAAAACAGGCGGACUAAGCUUCUUUUGGGUAGCAAAUCAAAUUCUG
rnacentral:lncRNA from 1 species